CUUCUCAAAUCAUUCUUAGCCUUUAAAUCUUGCUGAAAUGAAAUCCUGUCCGUUUAAACUCUCUUUCUUUAACCGCUGUCACAGAAGUUACGCUCGGUUUCUUUGGCUUUCAUCCCCAUGUUCCCACGUAUGGUUCCUAGGGUUGUGGGCAGUUUGUUUCUGUCGGUUCACCCCACUAUCCUUUUUCUCCUCCUAAAUCAUUGCUACUACAACCGCACCUCCUGUAGGUUAUUUAUAGAUCGUCCCCAAACCUUCCAUUCCCAUUCUCAGAUUUACAUUCUUCAAUUAUUCCCCGCUAUUCAAAAUACAUCCAACUUUACAAGCCAGUGGAGUAGUUCGAUUUCAUCAACAAUCCAUUGGAGGAGCCGUACCAACAACCGAUUGGUAAACCCUUACCUAUUUUCUCAUCUUCUUCGUUCAAUCUCCGGUUGGUUUCCGUUGUAAUACAAAUCACCAAACAAACAAACAAACCCUUCCUUUCAUCUCUCCAGCGACAAAUAAACCAACAUGGGCAGUUCUAUAUGAAGCCGCGUUGGAAGAUGAAAUUGCAGAGAGAACAUCUAAUUGUUGAAGUUUCAUCUCAUCUCACCUCUAUAGAUAUAAUCAUUGCCAAUUUCUUUUCAAGGACACCACCGCCUCCCAACUGUGAGAUCGAACAAAGUUAAGGUUACAUCUACAACAGUAUCACCUAGCCCUUGAAUUCAAGAUGGGAUUUUAUGGUCAUCAAAGGAGGUACCGUGCAUAGAAGAAUUCCCCUUGUCUGCAGCCAACCCAUGUGGACGAACCAAGUGGGAGCACAUCUAAGUGGAUAUGUUGGUGAAGAUCCUCUUGCAAUAAAAAAUAAUCUUAUGCCUUUUGUCCAGAAUCGCCGUUGACAGGGUUCUGCACUCAAAAGUAUUCUCAACCAAAGAUGGAACAUGGGUGUGUAUUUGCUUCCAAAAUUUUGUUUUUGAUUCAUUCUUAAUGUUGAUAGUGCAAUUUGUCUGUUUAUAUUGUUUUUAUCUGUUUCUAAAUAAAUUUCAGGUACGUGAUUACAUAUAUGUUGCAGAUUUUAGCUAAUGGGCAUGCAUUUAAAAAAAGGGUAAUUGAACGGUACCCCCGAUCGCGGGAGGGUUCUCCCUCCCGAGCACGAUAGCCCCAUACCUAACUGGCGGUGAAUCCCCAGCCAUCGAGUGGACCAUAGGUUUUUUGGUAAUCGACCGGAGUAGAACCCGGGUCCCCACGAUUUGUGUGGGUGAGGCUGGCUACUGGGCUGACACCCAGUGGUUAUAUGGCUGCAUUUAGAAAACUCACAGUCCUGAAAUAGCUUUGUAUUCUUUUGUCAUGUUUGAUUAUUUCAUAUAUAUUAUAUUAAUAUUUACUAGACACAAUUACAAAUAAUCACAACUAUGUGGCAAAUUGUAGUUAAUUAAAUGAUAUGCAUGUCAUUAUUUUGGAUUUUGCUGCCAUGAGGAUAAAAAAUAAGAAGAAUCUACUUCUAUAUUUUUAAUAUAAAAUUUUAAAUGGGCCAAACAUUGGAGCAACUGUAAGGUUAUUAGUAUGAGACCUGGAGGUCAUGGGCUUGACUCAUGGAAAGUGCAAAAUUUUUGAUUUCUCGUCGAAAAUUUUAAAGGAUCCCUCAAUUAUUGUCUAAAUAUUUAUACAAUAUAUAAAUUGGGUCCCAUGACUUUCUGCCCCCCGAAACUGUUGGUCAAGCUCCGCCACUGAUUAUGAAGAAGUUUUAGAUACAGUGAUUGACUCAGAUGGAUGGCCAAGAAGUAAGAACCGGUGAUCUUUGUUACUUUGACAAUGAAGGAUUCCUGUUCGUUAUGGAUCGGUUGAAAGAGCUGAUCAAGUAUAAAGGUUACUAGGUACCACCAACCGAAUUGGAACACAUUUAUACAACCGCAUCAAUCUGCAGUGAUUCCGUAUGCAUUUCACCUCUUAAUCAGAAGUCGCAAUUUCAUCUUAAUUCAGAUUUAAACAUGUAUAUGGGUUAAAUUGUUACACGGGUGAUGGAUGGGCCAAUCACUAUAUAGCCAAAUAUGUGGAUCGAGUUUAAUAUAGAGUUUCUUGAAUAUCUUUUUUCGACAAUAAUCCCUUAAUCCCUCUUUUGUAUAUAGUUUUUUCUAUUCUUUGAUUGUAUUUAAAUGUUUCAAUGUUGGGUAUAAAAUUUCGUUGUGUUUUUAUUCUUUUAUAUUUAAAUAAAGAUGGUUAUGAAAUUAAACUUCCCGACUAGCGGAUGGGUAUAAAACUAAAAAGUUAUAUGAAAAGGGUCAAGUUAAAUGAGCUGUGCUUUUAUCUUAAACAUAAACUAUUUUGGUUUAGAAUCCAAAGAAAGAUAAUUUUGCCAUUAAUACAUUAAAAUACCCGUCUAUCGGAUUAUGACAUUUCUCAGUCUCCCCUAAGAAACGAUCCCAAAAAUACACCAAAUUUGUCAGAUGCGGACCAGACGACAACUCAACAAGAAGAAAAUAUGUCAUCGGUGGUUGAUAAUUUGGAACAUGAGGUCGACGCUGACAUUUCUUCUAAAUGUUACCAGGUAGAUGAUGCUAGAUGUACACUAAAUUCAUCAGAUGUCCACAAUGCAACAAGUCAUCAAGAAUUGGUGGUUGUUGAUGUGAACCAUCAGGUUGCCUCAGUAGACGAUGUAAAAAAUAUACCAAAUUUGACAAAUGGGCACCAUGCAUCAACUCAACAAGUCGAAAAGAGGCUAUCUUUGAGGUUGAAGAGGACGAUCCAAAAGCCGAAAAAAUUGAGGCAAUAAACCACGUUUGAUUGUUUAUAACACUUUCCCUCAGUGCUGCCUACCAUUUACUUUUGCAUUAAAAUGACAGUAUUUCAUGUUUUAUCUCUCUAUCAGUUUUAUUUUAUACUGUUUGUGGUUGUACACUGUUCACGUAGGUUUUCCUUUUAUAAAUUAAAAAUGGUGCUUUUGUUUAUAA